UUUGUUAAACCACAGUUAAUAGAAGGGGAUGGUUUGGAAAGUGGGCGGAGUUUCGGAAUAUGUCUUUGAUCCAUGCUUGGAAGGGUCACGUGUCAAAUAGUGUGCAUCAUAUUAAAAAUGGCGUAAUAAUACAUAUCACGAACCACCUAAUUUACAUUGAAAUAAUAUCAAUAUAAUAUAUGUUGGCCAUCUGUUGGGAAUUUCGUUAGCUAGCUAUGAAGUAUUAAAGCUAUGCCUGGCCGUAAUUGUGCUUUUUUUGGUUGUUCAACAAGCCAAAAGCACCAAAUUUCAUUGUUUCGAAUACCAGUCAUGAGCGCGCACGAAAGUGAAUAUAAGUCGUCAAUAAAAAAGGAAACUCGGGAGAAAUGGCUUGAAAUUAUUUUCAGAACCAGAGCGAUUACAUCAGAACUGAAGAAACGAACAUCCAAUAACAAUAUAUAUUCCAUAAGGUAGAUGAUACUGUACAUAGGAACUGAAUUUUGGU